rnacentral:tRNA from 1 species
GCACACAUGCCCGAGUGGUCUAAGGGGUCGCACUCAAGAUGCGUUGAUUUAUUUCGGAGUAGUUCAAAUCUCACUGUGUGCA